rnacentral:rRNA from 1 species
AUUGAACGCUGGCGGCAGGCUUAACACAUGCAAGUCGAGCGGAGAUGAGGUGCUUGCACCUUAUCUUAGCGGCGGACGGGUGAGUAAUGCUUAGGAAUCUGCCUAUUAGUGGGGGACAACAUUCCGAAAGGAAUGCUAACACCGCAUACGUCCUACGGGAGAAAGCAGGGGAUCUUCGGACCUUGCGCUAAUAGAUGAGCCUAAGUCGGAUUAGCUAGUUGGUGGGGUAAAGGCCUACCAAGGCGACGAUCUGCAGCGGGUCUGAGAGGAUGAUCCGCCACACUGGGACUGAGACACGGCCCAGACUCCUACGGGAGGCAGCAGUGGGGAAUAUUGGACAAUGGGGGAAACCCUGAUCCAGCCAUGCCGCGUGUGUGAAGAAGGCCUUAUGGUUGUAAAGCACUUUAAGCGAGGAGGAGGCUACUGAGACUAAUACUCUUGGAUAGUGGACGUUACUCGCAGAAUAAGCACCGGCUAACUCUGUGCCAGCCGCCGCGGUAA